CACAAAGGUCCUAGGAGAUGAGCUUGAGAGCAUCAGCCCUUGAAAGCCUGAACAGACGUGGGGAGGCGUCAGGGAGCCCAGCCUGGCAGGGAGGGCGGUACGGAGCCCCCAGGAAGAAGCACGGCCCUCCCCUUGGAUCCCUGAAUGGGCUGAGGCUGCGUCCUUCUACUGGAUCCCGCGUCAAGGGGCUCUCCUAACAGCCCAGGUGUCCAGGGCAGCAGCACCCAGGACCCCAGCACCUAUCCCAGCACAGUGGAGGCGGCCGCAGCUCCCUGAGCCCGUGCGUACGUGCAUGAGAAUGACGGAGCUCCAGAGACAGGCGUGGAUGGAGGGUCAAGGGUCUGUUUCCCCAGAAGCUGCCAGUCUCUGGGACGAGGGAGGAGGCUUGUGGGGCUGGUGCCUCUUAGGCUCCCUGGUGGCACUUCCCAUCCGGGAAAAAUCUCU
rnacentral:lncRNA from 1 species